CUUAAUGGAUUACGUUAUUUAAGACUGCAACUUUCCUUUUUCCAGGGCUUAAGUGGAUCUUGGGAAGAGUACAGAAGUGGCAGUUCCGUUCAAUGAAGGACACUACACUGUUGAUGAAAUAUCAUUACUCCUUUACUCCUUCUCUUCACAUCUUUCCAGUCAUUUUCAUCACGACUUUUGCUGAUUUUGUGCCUGGAUGGGAUUGAGCGAGUUCCCAACAUCAUUAAAAAUGAAUGCAGCCCUUUACAUUUCUAAAUACCGGAGGAGCUCCCAUUAGCUCUCGCCCUCUCGUCAGUGUCUUUUCGGGAAUAUUGGAGCCACAGAUGUGGAGGAAAUGCGCCCAGCCGGUGGCUAUUAUAAGCAGAAGCUGUCGCCUGUAUAGAUACAGAUGUGCGCGAUGCAGGCGCCAAACGUGAGCAUUCAGGAUCCAGGCACUGACGCCAGUUGGGAGCAGGAGCUGCCAAAGCUUCAGAUUUGAGCAGCUGGAAGGAGCUGUCAAAAAGUCACUGCUGUCAACUACCCAUGGAAAAAUGCCCGCUCCCAUCAGAGCAUCCCCACCGCAGCUGGUCAGAGCCAGCUGACACCGAAGAUGUCGUCUUCAAAAAGGAUGGUUUGAGAAGGAAGCUGAGGAGCUCAGACGUCAAGAAAAGCCACCGUGGUGGGAAUUUAGGUAAGAAGGUUAGUAAUGAAAGGAAGAAUUUAAAGAUUCUGAUUCUUGAAGAAAAUGCAAUUCUCAUCAGAUCUGAAGCUAGCCUCGCUGCGAGUUGGUUGAGGCCAAAAAGUUUCACCUCAAGUCAUUACACCUGAAGGCAUCCUUGCUCAGCAAAUUACCUGAAAGCCUGCUCAAUUUUGAGAUGGUAAAUAUGUUGAAUUCAGCUAGAGGAAAACAAAAAAAAUCACGGUGAAAAGGAGAAGUUCAAAUGAGGUAGGUGGACCUACACGGGCAUUCUCGCUUCCUUCCUUCCCACAGCUUCCUCUGUUCCUAUAAUCUCAGCACAGAUGUUUCCUUUUUAAUCCCUGGCUCCAGCUGGCAGUGCAUCUCUGCUCUACCGUACUUAGUCGCAAUUACUGUAGACAUUAACUCUGCACAUGCUUCGGAAAUUGACUUCUUUUUCUUCCUUGGAAAUGUUGCUCAUCAUCAGGUUUUUAACAGCCAG
ensembl:lncRNA